GGGUUGUGAGGUUAAGCGACUAAGCGUACACGGUGGAUGCCCUGGCAGUCAGAGGCGAUGAAGGGCGUGCUAAUCUGCGAUAAGCGCCGGUAAGGUGAUAUGAACCGUUAUAACCGGCGAUACCCGAAUGGGGAAACCCAGUGUGAUUCGUCACACUAUCAUUAACUGAAUCCAUAGGUUAAUGAGGCGAACCGGGGGAACUGAAACAUCUAAGUACCCCGAGGAAAAGAAAUCAACCGAGAUUCCCCCAGUAGCGGCGAGCGAACGGGGAGGAGCCCAGAGCCUGAAUCAGCAUGUGUGUUAGUGGAAGCGUCUGGAAAGGCGCGCGAUACAGGGUGACAGCCCCGUACACAAAAGCGCAUGUGCUGUGAGCUCGAUGAGUAGGGCGGGACACGUGGUAUCCUGUCUGAAUAUGGGGGGACCAUCCUCCAAGGCUAAAUACUCCUGACUGACCGAUAGUGAACCAGUACCGUGAGGGAAAGGCGAAAAGAACCCCGGCGAGGGGAGUGAAAAAGAACCUGAAACCGUGUACGUACAAGCAGUGGGAGCCCCACCACUAAGCCAGUGGUGAACUCCACAUACGCAUCCUUUGCUGAGGAUACGGUUAACGGAGCGAAAGCGACGUUCAACCGCAAAAGAAGCAGAGGGGGCUUAGUGGUGGGGUGACUGCGUACCUUUUGUAUAAUGGGUCAGCGACUUAUAUUCUGUAGCAAGGUUAACCGAAUAGGGGAGCCGGAGGGAAACCGAGUCUUAAUUGGGCGUUAAGUUGCAGGGUAUAGACCCGAAACCCGGUGAUCUAGCCAUGGGCAGGUUGAAGGUUGGGUAACACUAACUGGAGGACCGAACCGACUAAUGUUGAAAAAUUAGCGGAUGACCUGUGGCUGGGGGUGAAAGGCCAAUCAAACCGGGAGAUAGCUGGUUCUCCCCGAAAGCUAUUUAGGUAGCGCCUCGUGAAUUCAUCUCCGGGGGUAGAGCACUGUUUCGGCUAGGGGGCCAUCCCGGCUUACCAACCCGAUGCAAACUGCGAAUACCGGAGAAUGUUAUCACGGGAGACACACGGCGGGUGCUAACGUCCGUCGUGAAGAGGGAAACAACCCAGACCGCCAGCUAAGGUCCCAAAGUCAUGGUUAAGUGGGAAACGAUGUGGGAAGGCCCAGACAGCCAGGAUGUUGGCUUAGAAGCAGCCAUCAUUUAAAGAAAGCGUAAUAGCUCACUGGUCGAGUCGGCCUGCGCGGAAGAUGUAACGGGGCUAAACCAUGCACCGAAGCUGCGGCAGCGACACUCAGGUGUUGUUGGGUAGGGGAGCGUUCUGUAAGCCUGCGAAGGUGGCCUGUGAGGGUUGCUGGAGGUAUCAGAAGUGCGAAUGCUGACAUAAGUAACGAUAAUGCGGGUGAAAAACCCGCACGCCGGAAGACCAAGGGUUCCUGUCCAACGUUAAUCGGGGCAGGGUGAGUCGACCCCUAAGGCGAGGCCGAAAGGCGUAGUCGAUGGGAAACGGGUUAAUAUUCCCGUACUUGGUGUUACUGCGAAGGGGGGACGGAGAAGGCUAUGUUGGCCGGGCGACGGUUGUCCCGGUUUAAGCGUGUAGGUGUGUGUUCCAGGUAAAUCCGGUUCACUUUAACACUGAGGCGUGACGACGAGGCACUACGGUGCUGAAGCAACAAAUGCCCUGCUUCCAGGAAAAGCCUCUAAGCAUCAGGUAACAUCAAAUCGUACCCCAAACCGACACAGGUGGUCAGGUAGAGAAUACCAAGGCGCUUGAGAGAACUCGGGUGAAGGAACUAGGCAAAAUGGUGCCGUAACUUCGGGAGAAGGCACGCUGACACGUAGGUGAAGUGAUUUACUCACGGAGCUGAAGUCAGUCGAAGAUACCAGCUGGCUGCAACUGUUUAUUAAAAACACAGCACUGUGCAAACACGAAAGUGGACGUAUACGGUGUGACGCCUGCCCGGUGCCGGAAGGUUAAUUGAUGGGGUCAGCGCAAGCGAAGCUCCUGAUCGAAGCCCCGGUAAACGGCGGCCGUAACUAUAACGGUCCUAAGGUAGCGAAAUUCCUUGUCGGGUAAGUUCCGACCUGCACGAAUGGCGUAAUGAUGGCCAGGCUGUCUCCACCCGAGACUCAGUGAAAUUGAACUCGCUGUGAAGAUGCAGUGUACCCGCGGCAAGACGGAAAGACCCCGUGAACCUUUACUAUAGCUUGACACUGAACAUUGAGCCUUGAUGUGUAGGAUAGGUGGGAGGCUUUGAAGCGUGGACGCCAGUCUGCGUGGAGCCGACCUUGAAAUACCACCCUUUAAUGUUUGAUGUUCUAACGUGGACCCGUGAUCCGGGUUGCGGACAGUGUCUGGUGGGUAGUUUGACUGGGGCGGUCUCCUCCUAAAGAGUAACGGAGGAGCACGAAGGUUGGCUAAUCCUGGUCGGACAUCAGGAGGUUAGUGCAAUGGCAUAAGCCAGCUUGACUGCGAGCGUGACGGCGCGAGCAGGUGCGAAAGCAGGUCAUAGUGAUCCGGUGGUUCUGAAUGGAAGGGCCAUCGCUCAACGGAUAAAAGGUACUCCGGGGAUAACAGGCUGAUACCGCCCAAGAGUUCAUAUCGACGGCGGUGUUUGGCACCUCGAUGUCGGCUCAUCACAUCCUGGGGCUGAAGUAGGUCCCAAGGGUAUGGCUGUUCGCCAUUUAAAGUGGUACGCGAGCUGGGUUUAGAACGUCGUGAGACAGUUCGGUCCCUAUCUGCCGUGGGCGCUGGAGAACUGAGGGGGGCUGCUCCUAGUACGAGAGGACCGGAGUGGACGCAUCACUGGUGUUCGGGUUGUCAUGCCAAUGGCACUGCCCGGUAGCUAAAUGCGGAAGAGAUAAGUGCUGAAAGCAUCUAAGCACGAAACUUGCCCCGAGAUGAGUUCUCCCUGAGACUUUAAGUCUCCUGAAGGAACGUUGAAGACGACGACGUUGAUAGGCCGGGUGUGUAAGCGCAGCGAUGCGUUGAGCUAACCGGUACUAAUGAACCGUGAGGCUUAACCUUACAACGCCGAAG
rnacentral:rRNA from 1 species